rnacentral:rRNA from 1 species
UGGGGAAUUUUGGACAAUGGGCGAAAGCCUGAUCCAGCAAUGCCGCGUGUGUGAAGAAGGCCUUCGGGUUGUAAAGCACUUUUGUCCGGAAAGAAAUGGCUCUGGUUAAUACCUGGGGUCGAUGACGGUACCGGAAGAAUAAGGACCGGCUAACUACGUGCCAGCAGCCGCGGUAAUACGUAGGGUCCAAGCGUUAAUCGGAAUUACUGGGCGUAAAGCGUGCGCAGGCGGUUGUGCAAGACCGAUGUGAAAUCCCCGAGCUUAACUUGGGAAUUGCAUUGGUGACUGCACGGCUAGAGUGUGUCAGAGGGGGGUAGAAUUCCACGUGUAGCAGUGAAAUGCGUAGAGAUGUGGAGGGAAAUACCCGAUGGGCGAAGGCAGCCCCCUGGGAAUAACACUGACGCUCAUGCACGAAAGCGUGGGGAGCAAACAGGAUUAGAUACCCUGGUAGUCC